AGCGAACGCUGGCGGCAGGCCUAACACAUGCAAGUCGAACGAACCCUUCGGGGUUAGUGGCGGACGGGUGAGUAACACGUGGGAACGUGCCUUUAGGUUCGGAAUAACUCAGGGAAACUUGUGCUAAUACCGAAUGUGCCCUUCGGGGGAAAGAUUUAUCGCCUUUAGAGCGGCCCGCGUCUGAUUAGCUAGUUGGUGAGGUAGUGGCUCACCAAGGCUACGAUCAGUAGCUGGUCUGAGAGGAUGACCAGCCACAUUGGGACUGAGACACGGCCCAAACUCCUACGGGAGGCAGCAGUGGGGAAUCUUGCGCAAUGGGCGAAAGCCUGACGCAGCCAUGCCGCGUGGAUGAUGAAGGUCUUAGGAUUGUAAAAUCCUUUCACCGGUGAAGAUAAUGACUGUAGCCGGAGAAGAAGCCCGGCUAACUUCGUGCCAGCCGCCGCAGUAACAC
rnacentral:rRNA from 1 species